GGCCCGUUAGCUCAGUUGGUUAGAGCGUCGUGCUAAUAACGCGAAGGUCGUGGGUUCGAUCGAUCCCCCCACGGGCCA